GGGCAGCUGGUGAUCGUUGGUCCCGG
rnacentral:piRNA from 2 species